rnacentral:sRNA from 1 species
GAAAGCCAAAAAAACUGGGUGAGUAAAGUGGCGCACGGGUGAGUAACACGUGGGUAACCUUCCCUUGAGCCGGGGAUAACUCCGCGAAAGCGGGGCUAAUACCGGAUAAUGUUUCGGCACCGCAUGGUGAUGUUGUUAAAGGCCCGCAAGGGCGCCUGUUGAUGAGCCUGCGUCCCAUUAGGUAGUUGGCGUUUUCCUGGCCCACCAAAGCAACGAUGGGUAGCUGGUCUGAGAGGAUGAUCAGCCACAUCGGAUUCGUGACACAGACGAANCUCCUACUNAAGUCGAAUGGAAGUGAUC